AGCGCCGCAACCGUGCGUCGGUCGCUCGCCGCGACGAUGCGCGUCCACACCUCGGCCGGCAGCGCCACCGUCGCGACGUCGCAUCCAUCGGCGCUGUGGUCAUCGCCGCCGCCACUGUUGCUGUUGUCGUUUUCGUCAUCUCUAUCCUCGCGGUCCCUGUCGCGUCGACUGUCGCCGACCCCCCGUGUCGUGGGUGCACAGACCUCUUCCAUCUCUCGGUGCAUUGCCUUUUCGUUGGGGUUUUCCUCCGUGUCGGCCCGCUCUCGGCCGCUGCGCUGCGCAUGGGGAACCCAGCGCGCAAUGUCGCCCCUCUGAGCCCCCAAGGACGCAUCGGGCAUGAAAGGAUAAAAAUGGAAAUAAAGACCGAGCACGAUGCCGUCGCCACUUGCGUGCGGCGGCGCCUUGCCCAGAGAACACGCUCCAGUCCCUCAACUGUGCGACCGACAGAUCCGCCGCACAAGUCCACUUGUUUUCUCGGCGA
rnacentral:lncRNA from 1 species